rnacentral:lncRNA from 1 species
AUCAGUUUGCAGGCACAACUGCACCAAGAUUCAAAUUCAUUCUAUGGCUUGCAUUGUAUAGAAGACUGGCAACAGUGGAGAGAUUAUUGAAGUUUAGUAUACAGAUUCCAAAACAGUGUUUUUUUGCAGGCAAGCAGAUGAGUCUUUUGAAUCACCUAUUUUCUGCUUGCCCGACAUAUUUGGAACUACGGAACAGAUUGCUAAGUUGGAUGGGAUACCAGAGAACCAUUUGGGAUUGGAAUAGGGAGGUUGAAUGGGUUAGCAAGAAUGCCAAGAGGAGAAACGGGCAAG